GUCUCUCUCCGGUCUCCGGUCAGCCUGCUGUCUGUCAGCAGCAGCAGCAGCACGGGGAGCGGAGGUUGCGGCUGCGCAUGCGCUCAACCAACUGCUGCUACUGCGAAACAAAGAUCGUCUAAUGAGGCGAUGAUCAGGUGCAGAACCAGAGUAUAUAUGUCCCCCAGCAGAGAGCGAGGAGAUCCAGAGGAGGCUGGUGGAGAGGAGGAGACAACGAGAGGUUCCGACUCAGACGCCACUGAGGAUGAGGAGUGCAGCCGAAGAAGAAAAAUGAUACUCUUCCAUCCAUCAGCCGUGUGGCGUCUCAGCAGAACAUGCAGCAGAUGGAUGUGAGCGGCAGCGACAUGCAUGAUGGAGCGACGCCAGCAGAGAGACGGAGGCCAGGAUGUUUUCUCUGAUGCUUCAGCUCUUAAUUAUAAAUGAGUAAAGUAUUGACGAGGCUGUCGUGAUGUAUGAGAUGACAACAACAACAUGUAUCGAUCAACUGAUCAGGUAGUUUUCAUGCAGCUGAUGAACCAAGAAGCUGCAGCGUCUCUCUCUGUGUGUGUGUGUGUGUGUGUGUGUUUAGGUGUGUGUGAGGCUGCGGAUCCUUCUGACCUUGGACGCCCGUUAAGCUGCUGGAAACACGGAGCAGCUCAUCAAAUAUUUACGGCUCCAUCUAAUUCAGGACUUCAUGUGGUCUUUCUUCCUCUGGCCUCGGGCUGUCGGCCGCAGGCUGCCGGAGAAGAGAGGAAAACACAUCAGCAACCGAGACCACGCUCACUACAAACACAUGAAACAGCACCGUUCACUCUGCAUCCCAUAAUGAGCUCCUACACUAAUUAUUCAGGGUUAAUACUUUGAACUCAAGGCCAACUUCUGAACUAUAAGGAUUGAAAAUGGAAAUAAAAAUGUCUGUUUCGGGCCUGGAAUUAAUGAUAAUUAUUAUAAUGACUUAGAUUAUUUUUUUUGCAAUUAAUUUCUUUUUCUUUUAAAUUAUAAAAUGUCCAGAAAAGCAUGAAUUAAAAAUGUCUCAGAACCC